CUGACUCUUAAUCAGUGGGUCCAAGGUUCGAAUCCUUGAUGGCGCACCA
rnacentral:tRNA from 1 species